GUGCUCACUUCAGCAGCACAUACACUAAAAUUUGAAUGAUACAGAGAAGAUUAGCAUGGCUCCUGUGCAAAUUUGUGAAGUGUCCCAUGUUUUU
rnacentral:snRNA from 1 species